ACACUGGGACACCCAGGGGACACCGGAAGGGACUUGGGGACAUCUCUGGGGACACCGGGAGGGACUUGGGGACAUCCUUGGGGACACCGGGAGGGACUUGGGGACACUUCGGGGACCUUGGGACACCUUUGGGGACCCUGGGAAGGAUUUGGGGACACUGGACACCCCUGGGGACACUGGGGACACCCUUGGGGACAUCGCGACCCUUUCGGGGACACCAGGGAGGGCCCGGUUCCGGUUGGGGGCGUGGCUUCAUUAAGCCCCGCCCAUUUCCUGACGUCACCCCGCUGGUCCCGCCCCCCCCUCAGGCGCCGCAGUGCGCCGAGAGCGAGCGGAGCCGAAAAGAGCCGGAAAAAGCCGAACGGAGCCGAGCGCCACCGAACCGGGACACGGAAAGAGCCGAACGGCGGAACAGAACCGGAGGCGAACCGGAGGCGAACCGGAGGCGAACCGGACCCUCCUGAGGGUCCGGCCAUGCCUUGAAGCGGCUCCUCAGAGCCGUCCCGGGCUCUUCCUCCUCGUCCUCCUCAUCCUCGUCCUCCUCCUGCGGCGGGGGAGGAGCCCAUGGGCCGGGCCGGGGGCUGAGGGGCGGCCGGAGACGCUGAACUGGGCCCAAACUGGGCCGAACUGGGCUCGAACUGGGCCCAACUGGGCCCAACUAGGCCGGAGGAAUCGGAACCGAGCCGAAAAGAGCCGAGCUCGUCCGGAAAGAGCCGAAGCGGACUAAACGGAACCGGGCCGGAAGUAAGCGGAGCGGACCGGAAAUAGAGGGAGAGACCGAACCGGGGCUCGGAAAGAGCCGAAAGGGUACGGAAAUUGCCGAAGGGGUACGGAAGUUGCCGAAGGGGUCCGGAAAUUGCCGAAGUGCCGCCAUGUUGCUGUGGCUCCUCCUCGGGCUCCUCGAGGUUCCAGGAGCCCUGGGGGGCUGCGUGGAGGUGGCCUCGGGCACCGAGGCCGUGCUGGGCUCGCCCUUUCGGCUCCUGUGCAUCGCCUGCAAGCGCCGCAGCGAGACCCCGGCCGAGGCCGAGAGCGAGNNNNNNNNNNNNNNNNNNNNCCAAAAUGUCCCCAAAAUGGCCCCAAAAUGUCACCUGGGACCCCCAAAAUGUCCCCAAAUGUCCCCAGAUGUCCUCAAAAUGUCAACUGGGGCUCUUCAAAGUCACCUGGGACCCCAAAAAUGUCCCCAAAAUGUCCCCAAAUGUCCCCAAAAUGUCACCUGGGACCCCAAAAUGUCCCCAAAUGUCCCCAAAAUGUCCCCAAAUGUCCCCAAAAUGUCACCGAGGACCCCCAAAAUGUCCCCAAAUGGCCCCAAAAUGUCACCUGGGGCUCUUCAAGGUCACCUGGGACCCCAAAAAUGUCCCCAAAUGGCCCCAAAUGACCCCAAAAUGUCCCCAAAAUGUCCCCAAAUGUCCCCAAAAUGUCACCAGGGACCCCCAAAAUGUCCCCAAAUGUCCCCAAAAUGUCCCCAAAUGUCCCCAAAAUGUCACCGAGGACCCCCAAAAUGUCCCCAAAUGGCCCCAAAAUGUCACCUGGGGCUCUUCAAGGUCACCUGGGACCCCAAAAAUGUCCCCAAAUGGCCCCAAAUGACCCCAAAAUGGCCCCAAAAUGUCCCCAAAUGUCCCCAAAAUGUCACCAGGGACCCCCAAAAUGUCCCCAAAUGUCCCCAAAAUGUCCCCAAAAGUCCAAAUGGGGCAAUUUUGGGUCUUUUUGGGACCAUUUUGGGCUGGAUUUCGAUGCAUUUUUCACCCAUUUUCACCAUUUUCCCGCCAAAUUUCGCCGGAAUUUCGCCAGAAUUCCACCAAAAUUCCGGGAUUUUUUGGGAAUUUUGCCAUUCCUGAUCCUUCUUAAUCCCAAUUCCAUUUCUGGACCCCUGGGAGUGAAUUUUGGGUCUCUUUGGGUCCGUUUUGGGCUGGAUUUCGACGCCUUUAGCGCGGAUUUUGACCAUUUUCCCGCCAAAUUUCGCCGGAAUUUCGCCAGAAUUCCACCAAAAUUCCAGGAUUUUUUGGGAAUUCCGACAUUCCUGAUCUCCCUUAACUCCAUUCCCAUUUCUGGACCCCUGGGAGCGAAUUUUGGGUCUCUUUGGGUCCGUUUUGGGCUGGAUUUCGACGCCUUUAGCGCGGAUUUUCCCCAUUUUCCCGCCAAAUUUCGCGGGAAUUCCGCCGGAAUUCCGGGAUUUUUUGGGAAUUCCGACAUUCCUGAUCCUUCUUAACUCCAUUCCCAUUUCUGGAGCCCUGGUAGUGAAUUUUGGGGUCUUCUUCAUCUAUUUUGGGCUGGAUUUCGACGCCUUUAGCGCGGAUUUUCACCAUUUUCCCGCCAAAUUUCUUGGGAAUUCUAUCGGAAUUCCAGGAUUUUUUUGGGAAUUCCGACAUUCCUGAUCUCCCUUAACUCCAUUCCCAUUUUUGGACCCCUGGGAGUGAAUUUUGGGUUUUUUUGGGACCAUUUUGGGCUGGAUUUCGACGCCUUUUUUGCACAUUUUGACCAUUUUCCCGCCAAAUUUCGCGGGAAUUCCGCCGGAAUUCCGGGAUUUUUUGGGAAUUCCGACAUUCCUGAUCCUUCUUAAUCCCAAUUCCCAUUUCUGGACCCCUGGGAGUGAAUUUUGGGGUCUUUUGGGACCAUUUUGGGUCCGUUUUGGGCUGGAUUUCGACGCCUUUUUUGCACAUUUUGACCAUUUUCCCGCCAAAUUUCGCCGGAAUUUCGCCAGAAUUCCACCAAAAUUCCAGGAUUUUUUGGGAAUUCUGACAUUCCUGAUCCUUCUUAACUCCAGUCCCAUUUUUGGACCCCUGGGAGCGAAUUUUGGGUCUCUUUGGGUCCGUUUUGGGCUGGAUUUCGACGCCUUUA
rnacentral:lncRNA from 1 species